AUUGACCGCUGGCGGCAUGCCUAACACAUGCAAGUCGAACGAGUGGCGGACGGGUGAUUAAUGUCUGGGAAACUGCCCUAUGGAGGGGUAUAACUACUGGAAACGGUAUCUAAUACCGCAUACCAUCUGAUGUGCCCAGCGGGGAUUAGCUAGUAGGUGAGGUAACGGCUCACCUAGGCGACGAUCCCUAGCUGGUCUGAGAUGAUCACCAGCCACCCGGGAACUGAGACACGGUCCAGAAUCCUACGGUAGGCAGCAGUGGGGAAUAGUGCACAAUGGGCGCAAGCCUGAUGCAGACAUGCCGCGUGUAUGAAGAAGGCCUUCGGGUUGUAAAGUACUUUCAGCGAGGAGGCGUUACUCGCAGAAGAAGCACCGGCUAACUCCGUGCCAGAAGCCGCGGUAAUUC
rnacentral:rRNA from 1 species